GGGACCGCCAGAGGGGCAUCUGGUGGGUCUCCUCACCACCGCAGCUGGCUGGUUCUGUCCCCGAUGCCUACCUCCUGGUUCUCGUCUGGCCACUUCGCCUCCUUGUACCUGCAGAGAGCUGGAGCAACCCCGCAGCUGUUCCUGCCUCACGGGGCAGACCAGUCUCCAGAGGGGAUCCUCACCCCAGCGCCCUCUGGUGGCGCCCGUGCCAGGACGGGGCUGGGCCGGACUCCAGGGGUCUGUUCGGAAGGGGAGAGCGGCGAAGCUAAGCCCAGUGACCCCAGAGCACCUCCCGUAAAUCAGUCCUCGGGAAGUCAGCUGUCUGCGAUCUCAGGGGAGGGACACUGGCGGGGAAGGGUGCCCGCAGGCAGGAGCCGCAGCUGGAUCCCUGGCGUGCUACGGGUCCCGGGGAAUGUGGUGUCUCUGGACCCGCUCCCCUCUCCCUGAAACGAGGGGGCGGGAGGAGCUGAUCUCUGAGGUCCCUUCCAGCUCCAGCACCUUCUGUUCUAGGAAAUCCACGUGAACGUUGCUAUAGAGACAGCAGAGACGAGCCGCAGCAGCUCGGAAUUGGACCUCCACCCAUAAGAGAGAGGAAAGAGUCACCCCAGGAAACAGCUGACGUCAGGGCUGUGUUCGCCCCCUCCCCCACGCCAGGUGCCUAGGGGCCACGCUGAGUGUCCUGCUCCCGCGAGGACACAACCCACACCCCACCUGCCGUGGGCUCACCUUUGUGGCCCUGAGGCCCUCCUGGGCAAGUGGUAAGGGGUGGGCGUCGGCCCCGCCUCCGUGGGACAGGGACUGUUGGGUGCCGGCUGGGCAGUGGGCUGUUUCCUUGGCGGUGUGCCCGCAGGAUCUGCCCUCGGGCUUUCCUUCCCACUGCAGCUCGGGGACUCACACCUGAGCGCUCUGGGUGGUGUCAGGAUGCAAAACGUGCGUGCCCUGGAGCCCAGCGGGGGGUGGAGGGGGGCAGGGAGCUGCUCGGAUC